GAUGAACGCUGGCGGCGUGCCUAAUACAUGCAAGUCGAGCGAACGGACGAGAAGCUUGCUUCUCUGAUGUUAGCGGCGGACGGGUGAGUAACACGUGGAUAACCUACCUAUAAGACUGGGAUAACUUCGGGAAACCGGAGCUAAUACCGGAUAAUAUUUUGAACCGCAUGGUUCAAAAGUGAAAGACGGUCUUGCUGUCACUUAUAGAUGGAUCCGCGCUGCAUUAGCUAGUUGGUAAGGUAACGGCUUACCAAGGCAACGAUGCAUAGCCGACCUGAGAGGGUGAUCGGCCACACUGGAACUGAGACACGGUCCAGACUCCUACGGGAGGCAGCAGUAGGGAAUCUUCCGCAAUGGGCGAAAGCCUGACGGAGCAACGCCGCGUGAGUGAUGAAGGUCUUCGGAUCGUAAAACUCUGUUAUUAGGGAAGAACAUAUGUGUAAGUAACUGUGCACAUCUUGACGGUACCUAAUCAGAAAGCCACGGCUAACUACGUGCCAGCAGCCGCGGUAAUACGUAGGUGGCAAGCGUUAUCCGGAAUUAUUGGGCGUAAAGCGCGCGUAGGCGGUUUUUUAAGUCUGAUGUGAAAGCCCACGGCUCAACCGUGGAGGGUCAUUGGAAACUGGAAAACUUGAGUGCAGAAGAGGAAAGUGGAAUUCCAUGUGUAGCGGUGAAAUGCGCAGAGAUAUGGAGGAACACCAGUGGCGAAGGCGACUUUCUGGUCUGUAACUGACGCUGAUGUGCGAAAGCGUGGGGAUCAAACAGGAUUAGAUACCCUGGUAGUCCACGCCGUAAACGAUGAGUGCUAAGUGUUAGAGGGUUUCCGCCCCUUAGUGCUGCAGCUAACGCAUUAAGCACUCCGCCUGGGGAGUACGACCGCAAGGUUGAAACUCAAAGGAAUUGACGGGGACCCGCACAAGCGGUGGAGCAUGUGGUUUAAUUCGAAGCAACGCGAAGAACCUUACCAAAUCUUGACAUCCUUUGACAACUCUAGAGAUAGAGCCUUCCCCUUCGGGGGACAAAGUGACAGGUGGUGCAUGGUUGUCGUCAGCUCGUGUCGUGAGAUGUUGGGUUAAGUCCCGCAACGAGCGCAACCCUUAAGCUUAGUUGCCAUCAUUAAGUUGGGCACUCUAAGUUGACUGCCGGUGACAAACCGGAGGAAGGUGGGGAUGACGUCAAAUCAUCAUGCCCCUUAUGAUUUGGGCUACACACGUGCUACAAUGGACAAUACAAAGGGCAGCGAAACCGCGAGGUCAAGCAAAUCCCAUAAAGUUGUUCUCAGUUCGGAUUGUAGUCUGCAACUCGACUACAUGAAGCUGGAAUCGCUAGUAAUCGUAGAUCAGCAUGCUACGGUGAAUACGUUCCCGGGUCU
rnacentral:rRNA from 1 species